UAUAGAGGGUGCAAACGUUGUUCGGAAUUACUGGGCGUAAAGCGCGUGUAGGCGGCCUAGUGUGUCGGGCGUGAAAUCCCACGGCUCAACCGUGGAAGUGCACUCGAAACUGCAAGGCUGGAGUACUGGAGAGGAUGGUAGAAUGCUCGGUGUAGAGGUGAAAUUCGUAGAUAUCGAGCGGAAUACCGGUGGCGAAGGCGGCCAUCUGGACAGUCACUGACGCUGAGACGCGAAAGCGUGGGGAGCGAACAGG
rnacentral:rRNA from 1 species